UUUGUCUUUCCUUUCCUUUUUAUAGCUAUAAUAAUAUUUAUAUACAUGGACAUCGUGAAGACCAAAUACAUCAAAAUUGUACUGGUUGUUGUGGUGAUUCUCAACAUAUUUUCUGAUGAUACUUCUGCAUUCCCUGCUCGAGAAUUUCUCAAAACCAAACACUUGCACAGGGUAGGAUGCAAAUAUUGUACUUGAAUGCUGAAAAAAUACCAACUCAAAAGCCACACAUGUCAAUCAGUUUCGUGUUUUAGGGAAGCCUCACAACUCAAUUUUGUCGAUGAGAAACGUCAUAUGGACGUUUCUCUGGAGACCCCCACCCCCUUAGAAACGUCACACAUAUAUAUAUAUAGUUAUCGUCUUAUCGAUAUUUUGUUCUAUAGUAAACAUAAGGUGAUUUUCUAUUAUUUUCUACGGUCGGCUAUUGGCGAUGCUUCCGCGAGGAAUAUGUCAUCUUCUGCUGACGUAUGUUUUGACAUAUGAACUUAAAAAAUUCCAAGAUUUAUCAAAACAACUUUUUUUGCAUGGAAAUAUUGACAAUUUUAGCGCGUUUUUCUUAAAAUUUGAGUGUUUUCAAUGCAAGGAAGGCGUAAUAAUAUAAAUGUGUAAAACAUGCAUGUAUAACCGUGUGGUAUUACGAAUGUAUAGACUGGCGGCCGUUUGUAUCAAUUAAGUUGUUUUCUUUUUUAUAUUCUGCAAAGAUGAUUUGAUUCCGAAAUGUUACGGCUUUCGAAAAAGUAUACUAUCGAAUUUUUCCAUGAUGCUUUACAGAGAAACGUCACAGUUGCAAAGCCCCCUCCCCCCCCUCCCCCCAAUGAACAUAUGACGUUUCUCGUGGACAAAAUCGAUGUGUGAGGCGGCUUCCCUAAUAAUUAAAUCUAAAUUAAAACAUCCGAGUAUAAAUAUAUGCGUCUGCAGCGAUUAGAAUAGGAUUCUAUUUAUACCCCUUUAAUAGUUCCGUGAAAAUUGAAAAGGGUUAAACACAAUUUUUUUUAAACACUAGAUAAUUAAAAGAUGUUCCACAUUGUACUCACGAUGCAGUGUAGAUUCGGACUGCUCAUGCAGUACGACAAUUAUGGGCUGUUUUUAUGGUAUAUGCUUUGAAGACAUCAUGACAGGACCAUUCUCACGACAUCGUGGAUAACCAAGAAAUCUUUAGCGAGUUUAUGGAACUACAUUAAUAUGUCUAUAUACAUUAUAUUAAUAAAUUAUAUUUAUAUUUUUAAUGUAAAACAUUGUCGGGCCAAUGGCACUGGAAACCUUUUUGUGGAGGGCGAGGAUACCAUUAAAUUCUGUAAGGCUCGGUUUGCAAGGCUUAGGAGGGGGUGAAUAGGGGUAUACAAAUCCGCCGAUCCGCCCAAAUUUGAAGCAAAAUCCGCCGUCCGACAAUGAUCUUGUCUAAAUUUGGAUCCGCUAAAAGCUCUACUAUGAAGCCACAAUCCAGGAUCCGAACUAAAUUGCAAGCAAAAUCAACAAUCCGAGCCAAAAUAUUAUAGAUAAAUCCGCAAUCCGCUGUAUUAAUAAGAUCCGCAAAUCCGUGUAAAAUAUUCGCAAAUCCAAAGUCCGAACAAUUUUUUCGGCGGAAUCCGACGAUCCGAAAACCUAUUCACCCCUCCCUUAAGGCCUGAUUCCACGGGCGCUUUUUCUCGGCGAAAUAUUUCGCCUGUUUCUUUUGAAUUGUGAGCAAUCAAGUAGAAAUAAUUUAUUCGAGUGGUCGCAAUUCAAAAGAAACAGGCGAAAUAAUUCGCUGACAAAAAGCGCUCGUGGAAUCAGGCCUUUAAUAUACUCAUCGACGUCGAAUUUCCGUGGAAUUAAAUUCGUUAAAUUUACUCCUGCUGAUGAGAGGCCUAAUUUAAGGCUUGCCCCGUGAAGGCUCGUUAUACUUUGAACAAAGAAUUUUUUGUGCCAUUCGCUAUUAUAUAUGGUGCUAGAGAGCAAAACUAUACGUCACUUAUUUAUUUACCAAUUAUUGGUGUUAUCGCAGUUACUAUAGGAGCGAUUAUUAUAAAAUAUGUAUUUAUAUUGUAAAAGUAAAAUAGUAUUAUAUAUAACGUAAUUAACUAGUAUAAUAAUAUAUUUACAGGUAGAUCUAUAUAUUUACAGAUAGCUAUAUCAAUCAAUGUGAGUAGUGAUUUUCUUUCGAAAGAAAGGGAUUUUUAUCCGCCAUGUAAAGUGUAUAGUGAAAUGUAUCUCAAUACUAAUCGUAAUCAUAGCCAACAGAAGCCUCUGCGGAGGAGAGAGGAUUUGCUCUCUCUAUAGUUUCUUUUGAAAUAGAAUUCCAAAUGUAUGUCCCGUCAUAUAUAAAAAUAUUUGGGACCCAUAGGUUCAUGCCCCACCCAUCCUUUCAAGAAAUUACUUGGCACCCCCUCAAUAAUCGGAAAAUAAUUUCAUGCCCCUCUUUGAAUUUUUAAUACAAAUAAAAAUUGAUUUUACAAAUACCAAUCUGUUGAAAAGAAGAACAUCAUCUGCAGAGCAAGAAGCCGAAGCAAAACGACAGAAGAGGUCAACUAAAACAAAUUAAAGGAAAUCAGC
rnacentral:lncRNA from 1 species